rnacentral:rRNA from 1 species
ACUAAUUCUAGCUCGAACAUAUUAAACUCAACUAAUAAUAAUAACAAUUAAAUAAAACAUUUAUAAAUAAUUAAAGUAUAGGAGAUAGAAAUUCUAAUCGACGCAAUAGAGACAGUACCGCAAGGGAAUAAUAAUUAAAAAGUAAAAAAAAGCAAAGAUUACCUCUUCUACCUUUUGCAUAAUGAUCUAACUAGAAUAAGCUUAACAAAAAGACUUGAAGUUAAGCACCCCGAAACCAGACGAGCUAUCUGAAGACAGCCUAUAAGGGCAAAUUCAUCUAUGUGGCAAAAUAGUGAAAAGAUCUUCAGCUAGAGGCGAAAAACCAACCGAGCCUGGUGAUAGCUGGUUGUCCAGAAAAUGAAUUUUAGUUCAAAUUUAAACUUACCAAAAAUACCUUAAACUUUAAUGUAAGUUUAAAUACUAGUCUGAAGAGGUACAGCUCUUCAGAUACAGGAUACAACCUUUACUAGAGAGUAAUAUAUAAUACAAACCAUAGUAGGCCUAAAAGCAGCCACCAAUUARGAAAGCGUUAAAGCUCAACGAAACAUAUAUCUUAAUUCCACUAGUACACCCCAACUCCUAGUCUAAUCCUGGACCACUCUAUUAUAUACUAGAAGAGACACUGUUAGUAUGAGUAACAAGAAAUAGUUUCUCCUCCGCACAAGCCUAUAUCAGAACGAAUAAUUCACUGAUAGUUAACAGCAAUUUAGGAUUAAACCUAAAACAAGAGCCACUAUAAAUCAAACUGUUAGUCCAACACAGGUGUGCACUACGGGAAAGAUUAAAAGGGAUAAAAGGAACUCGGCAAACACAGACCCCGCCUGUUUACCAAAAACAUCACCUCUAGCAUUACUAGUAUUAGAGGCACUGCCUGCCCAGUGACAUAAGUUCAACGGCCGCGGUAUCCUGACCGUGCAAAGGUAGCAUAAUCACUUGUUCUCUAAAUAAGGACUUGUAUGAACGGCUUCACGAGGGUCUUACUGUCUCUCAUCCCCAAUCAGUGAAAUUGACCUUCCCGUGCAGAGGCGGGAAUAUUAUAAUAAGACGAGAAGACCCUAUGGAGCUUUAAUUAAUCAGCCCAAAUCAGGUUAACAUAAAUCAAAAAGAGACAACACAACCUAUCAUGAGCUGACAAUUUAGGUUGGGGUGACCUCGGAAUAUAAAAAAUCUUCCGAGUGAUAAACGUUUAGACAAACCAGUCAAAACAAUAUCAUCACUUAUUGAUCCAAAUAAUUGAUCAACGGAACAAGUUACCCUAGGGAUAACAGCGCAAUCCUAUUUUAGAGUCCAUAUCGACAAUAGGGUUUACGACCUCGAUGUUGGAUCAGGACAUCCUAGUGGUGCAGCCGCUACUAAGGGUUCGUUUGUUCAACGAUUAAUAGUCCUACGUGAUCUGAGUUCAGACCGGAGUAAUCCAGGUCGGUUUCUAUCUAUUUCACGCCCCUCCCAGUACGAAAGGAUAAGAGGGACGAGGCCCACUUUAAUACGCGCCUCCAAUAAACAAAUGCUAUACACUUAAUUAGUAAAUAUGUGAACACUANAUCCCUAGACCAGRGUUC